CCGCCUACAGACUCCCACUCGGGGCUCUUCUAGGCCUCAGUCUCUAUGGUAACUCUUUUUGGUAAGACCCUGCGCUUGCAGGGCCAUCUUUCGUUUGGGCAACUGCUCAUUAGGACACCCGUGAAAAAAGGAAUUGGUGCACUCAAUUAUGGAGUCUGAAAAGUCUUACAAUAUGCAGUCUGCAAGUUGGACACCCUGAAAAGCUGGUGGCGUAAUUCAGCCUGAGUCUGAAGGCUUGAGAACCUGGGGAGAAGAUGGUAUAUAUCCAGUGUAACUACAGGAGGAGAACACUGCUCCAGCCCAGCAGUCAGCCUCUUUGUGGACCAGCUCCUGUUGGAUCAAGGGUCCUGAAAAGCCCAACCAUUUGCUUCCUCAUUGGUGUUAUACCCGGCAACAGUCCAGCAAGCUUCUGGAUCCUAGGGUAGCUGCCAUCACUGUUCACAUGCAACCACCUCUUCCUGAUUCUCUCUGAAGAUUGCUGAAGGUCAAGCUUG